ACCGGAUGCCUACAAACAGUCGGAGCCCGCAAGGGUGACGGCGUACCUUUUGUAUAAUGGGUCAACGACUUAGUGUAACUAGCAAGCUUAAGCCGGUAGGUGUAGGCGCAGCGAAAGCGAGUCUGAAUAGGGCGAUUGAGUUAGUUGCAUUAGACCCGAAACCGAGUGAUCUAGCCAUGAGCAGGCUGAAGGUUGGGUAACACCAACUGGAGGGCCGAACCCAUAACUGUUGCAAUAGUUCGGGAUGACUUGUGG
rnacentral:rRNA from 1 species